GUGAACGUAGCAGGCGCACAGAACUGUAGGCCAAGUUCAGACAGGAAGAAACGUUGCCGCGGCCUCCGAGCACGUUUCAACUGGCUUCAACCAGUUUCGAGGACGAGACGCGAGUAUUCCCGUAUUUCCUUUAGUAAAAAUUGUCUUCUGAUUUAUUAACGAAUGGAGUUGUUUGUACGAGUUUCUAUCUAUGUCCAUCUUUGUCCGUCACGUGAUUUCGUCGGCGACCGUGAGUUCCAGCCGAUCUCUUUCCCUUCGAAUAACCUUAAAGCCUGUUCUGGGAAAUAUAAACUUGUGCAUCGUGCAAAGACUGACAAGCAACAAGAUAUGCGAAACAAUGUGAUAAAAGUAGGUCGAGUUAGAGAGAAGAAUGACGAAUAAACUGUCCGCAACUAUUUACUUUGUAAGAGAAUAAUACUCAUCUGUUUCGUUAUUUUAUACAAUGCUUUUUUCCGAGUAUUUACGGCAGUGAAAAAAUGUUUCCUAUGAAGGCAUUUACGUUAACACGUAACCAUGUUUACGGUUGAAAUAAUAACAUUCUUUAAAAAUAACGGGCUGCUCCGUUGAAUGUGUCUGACAGUGACGAAUACUCUCAUGCGAGUAAAGAGUAAACGACCCGGUUUUUCAACGGGAAACAAUAUAGCUGGAAAUUACGAUGCGAUAGAUUCUACAUGCACAUGAAAGAAACAUGGAACCAACGAUUUUUGUCCAAUUUGUGCAACGCUACGGUAGAUUGGCUUAUCGAACUGAAUAAAACAAAAGGUAAACUAAUGGUUCAUAUUAUUUUGUCGUUUUUAACGAAACGGCAGUUUCAUUCAAACAGAAAUGUGUCUUCCAUUAAGUGAACUACUUUUCCUUUU